UACGUAGGGUGCGAGCGUUGUCCGGAAUCAUUGGGCGUAAAGAGCUCGUAGGCGGCCUGUCGCGUCGGAUGUGAAAACCCGGGGCUCAACCUCGGGCCUGCAUUCGAUACGGGCAGGCUGGAGUUCGGCAGGGGAGACUGGAAUUCCUGGUGUAGCGGUGAAAUGCGCAGAUAUCAGGAGGAACACCGGUGGCGAAGGCGGGUCUCUGGGCCGAUACUGACGCUGAGGAGCGAAAGCGUGGGGAGCAAACAGG
rnacentral:rRNA from 1 species